CGCGUAGGCGGAAAAUUAAGUCAGUGGUGAAAUCCUGCAGCUUAACUGUAGAACUGUCAUUGAUACUGAUUUUCUUGAAUAUAGUUGAGGUAGGCGGAAUGUGUAAUGUAGCGGUGAAAUGCUUAGAUAUUACACAGAACACCGAUUGCGAAGGCAGCUUACUAAGCUAUUAUUGACGCUGAGGCACGAAAGCGUGGGGAGCGAACAGGAUUAGAUACCCUGGUAGUC
rnacentral:rRNA from 1 species